rnacentral:rRNA from 1 species
GAUGAACGCUGGCGGCGUGCCUAAUACAUGCAAGUCGAGCGAACAGACGAGGAGCUUGCUCCUCUGACGUUAGCGGCGGACGGGUGAGUAACACGUGGAUAACCUACCUAUAAGACUGGGAUAACUUCGGGAAACCGGAGCUAAUACCGGAUAAUAUAUUGAACCGCAUGGUUCAAUAGUGAAAGACGGUUUUGCUGUCACUUAUAGAUGGAUCCGCGCCGCAUUAGCUAGUUGGUAAGGUAACGGCUUACCAAGGCAACGAUGCGUAGCCGACCUGAGAGGGUGAUCGGGGAGCAAGAGAAUGAGACAAGGUCCACAAGGCUACGAGAGGGAGAAGAAGAGACGCGUCAGAAAUGGGCGAAAGUGUGACAGAGGAACGAAGAGUGAUUGAUGAAAGUAUUAGGAGCAUAAAACUAUGCUAGUAGGGAAGAACAAAUGUGUAAGGACCUGUGCACAUCUUGACGGGACCUGGUCAGAAAGCCACGGGUAAAUAAGUG